rnacentral:lncRNA from 1 species
UUGCGUUCAUUAAAGCAUAAUUAUAAUAAGACCGCGCCAUGUUGAUGGUUAAGUAAUCCACUUAACCCUCCGGCACGCAUACACUCACUUUCCAGGUCUGGUCUGGAGACACUAAUGCAAUUUGCGGUUUAAAGUCCUAGGUACGAUACCUGUGUAAUCCGUGAGAUUAUGGCUAGCUACUGAGAUGUGGAGUUGAGGUCACAGUCGGUGGACCGAGAUUCGCACGCUGGAUUGGUCGCGAAUGCUGAACCCUCCGGGUGAAAGGAUGAUUGAUGUGAUUCUAAAAGGCAGCUCAAGUUUAAAAGGAGGGGAGGGAUCUCGGUGUGGUAAGCGGAAGCAGGCAGCGUCUGUGAGCCGUGUUGAGCCCUUCUCGGGCUUUGUAGGGGGGCGCCGCGCUGGCUUGUCAGCCCCCCCGCGGCAAUAGGUGUUCUUGCUGUGUCUUGCGCUGGGCUGCACCCGGAAGCCCACAACCCCAGGAGGAGACUGCCGUACGGACCAGUUUUUCUUGCCCCGGUUGUGAGUGGACCGGUGAGGUAGUGGUGGCCGUCCUCGGUAGGUGUCCGUUGCUAGUGGUAGGUGAACAGCUGGCCUUCAAGGUCCAAUGUGCAAGUGCCCGCGCUGUGUUUUUCUUCUCGGUGCAACCGCGUCUCGGUUUUAGUGGUGUGUCGUCUCAGGCCCAUGGUCCUCCGUGUAUCUCUUGCCUUGCUGGCUGUGUGGGGCCCUUGACUGGGAGAGUCUUCGGAGGGGCCGUACAUGAGAUGGGUAGAUCUUCCCUUGCUUCGGUUUUUGAGUGUGUUGUGGAGCCCCCUGAGAAGAGCCCCUGCCCCCGGUGGUGUUUUCUCUUUGUUCUUGUUUUGGCGGUCAAGAGGGACGAGAGCGCGCGAUUAGGCUGGCCAGGUGUAGUGGGGGCAGUUAGCUUGCUUAGGUUUUCCCAGAGGUGGUGUGGCGCCUCUCGUGCGGCUCUCGCUUAGUUCGGUUUGCAGUCUUCUGCACCACUGCGUUGCCUAGCCAGGGGCUGGGAGAGCGUCCCGGUUGGCGUGAGUGAGGGAGUGAGGUGCGCACGGAGGCACAGACGGACGUAGAGCCGCGCGCCUGCCCCUGUGCUGUGUUUCGGCCCGGUCAGGGCCCCCGGUGCUCGUCCUUUAUCGGGCGAGCCGCCCACAGUGUAACACCCCAACAACAUCAACAACAUCAACAACAACAGUGGGGGCAGGUGGCCUGGUUAGGGUUCCUGGAGGUGGUAUGGUGCCUCUCACGCGGCUCUUGCUUAUUUCGGUUCACGGUCUUCUAGCUGUAGUGCCUAGCUAGGGGCUUGGAGAGUGCCCUGGCUGACGUGAGUGCGGGAGUCACUUCUUGGUAUAUCUGCAAAUAGUUCGCACGUGGGGGGGGGUGGGAAUGUACGUCCCCCACACACCCCCAUGAUGUAGGUACCUCUACCUGGUAAAGAAUCUGAUUGUCCCCAAUCUCCAUACCAUUGCCCCCCAUAUCUCCAUACCAUUCCCCCACCAUUCCCCAUACCACACAACCCCCCCAUAUUGAUGUACCAUUGCCCCCCCAUAUCCCCAUACCACUCCACCCAGUCUUACGGUAGCGAUGCAAAACAGUCUGCGAUAUUAUUUCUUCCCCGCCUCAUAGCAAAAAGAUACUCACAGUCUCCGAUGCCAUUCCAAUUCAUUUCACGAUAGCAACUACUUUCGAUCCACGUUCGUGCGUGCGUGCGUGCGUGCGUGCGUGCGUGUGUGUGUGUGUGUGUGUGUGUGUGUGUGUGUGUGUGUGUGUGUGUGUGUGUGUGUGGACCAAACAUAAUAUCUCGCCCGGCUGAAACGCGUUGUAGGUACUAUACAGCAUUCUCUAUUGCAAGGUAUCUCGCAUGUAGCCAACAAAAAUCGUAUGAGCACAAACAAGUUUGGCUGCCGCAAUUGACCGAGGCCAAAGUCACAUCAACGCCUCUCGCGCUAAAUUUCAUCCCGAAAGCUGCCGCGUAUCUCAUAAUGGAAUUCUGUGAUGACGGCGUAUGAUAACUCGAACACCCAGCUUGUGUUACCAUUUGCCGGCAUGGGCAAUCCGACUUGCCACCAGCAGGCCAACAUAAUUUGCUUUUUCAUUUCUCUAUGAAAUACACAAGCUGCUUGUUUGUACAUUUACUUUGGCCAAUGCACGGGGCCUCCGAAGAGUUGCGGUGUGCCCCGAUGAAGCCCGCGGCUGUGGGGCGGAUUGCUGAGGCCGCCGGCGCUUCGGGGAUAAACAUCACAGACAGCACCGAAAUUCACCCAGCUUGUGUUACCAUUUGCCCGCACGGGCAUUCCGACUUGCGGUCUGCCGCACUGUCCAUGCGGCAUGCACCCGGGAUGGAUGCGAUUCGCGUGAAGCCCGCAGGCGGUGCUGACGAUUCCGCUGGUGCAAGCUUAGCUCUCACACCAUCAGCACUGCUGCAACAAAGCACAUCUCCCACCGCGUUGACACUACCCAUCAAUUGUCACACGUGCCGCGCUAGCUACCGGCCUGUACGGAUGCAGGGGGGGCCCGCCCUUUUUCCGGCUUCGAGGAAGCCGAAACCCGACUUGUUUGGCUUAGACUGUAUGUCAUAAAAGUAAGAUGUCGGGGGCUAGAUGAUCGGCAGGCGGCUUGUAGGAGUCGGUUUGGGUGCCAUGCGCGGCGGAUGAGUGACCGUGUGCCAAGCCAGCCUAACCUAACAGCCUUUGCUGAUCAAAUUAUUGAAGUUUACAUUAAGAUUACCAUGUUCACGCAAGCUUUUCUCUAAAUUAGAACGGUGCGACGCGUGCCGGUGAGACCUGCUCCGGACCCCUAAAAUUGCACUAAAGCUCGCGAGUGAGAUCCGUACAUGUGAACGUUCCGGAUCCGGAGACUCAGAGACAACAACACGGCUACCUGCUGGUAGUCCUUUGCAGCAAUGACAUCCUUGUUCCAAUAGCGUGUAGGAGGCACAACGAACACAAUGGUGCAAAUCUUCCACGGAGGCCUUCUGGUGUCCAUCACCACACGGAUGAGGCCGCCGGGUUUGGAAUACAAGGUUAUGCUUCUUUCCCCGGAGAUCUCCGGCAGUCUCCGGUUCCCAGAGUGUCCGGUUCCCAGAGUAACCGGGCCGGCAAUUUCUGUUUUUUCAGAAAAGCCGGUUAUCAUGCCCUACAUGGCUUCUCGUGACAGCUUUUGAUUGCGUCACGGGGUUCCUGACAAUUCGUUCAUUGUACCGGAAAAGAGCUUCAUCCGUCCAAAUUAGUUUCAUAUGGUAUGGUGUCUGCCUGGAAGAUAUUUUACUGGAUGUAUUUGUAGAAGGCUCUCGGAGCGGCUCCUACGGCAGCAAACGAAGUAUCGGAGCCUUGGUCGGCAAACGCUGGAUUUCUCUUUCAGGAAGUGGUCCAUUUCUCUAGAGCCCCAAAAAACAUUGCUAUCGUGAGAUGGAGUCCAAUGGUACAGGAAUCGGGGUCAUUCCGUGAUAUAGUCUGAGCCAAACAUUGUGGAACACAUUGCCGGGUCGAGUGUAUGGAGUGGUACAGGGAUUGGGGGUUUUGUAACAGGCUUGUGGGGGGCAAUGCCCCCACGUGGGAUGGUAUGGAGUGGUACAGGAAUAGGAGACAAUGUUAUGGGGUGUGGGGGAGACGAAGUCUCUCUCACGUGACAUAAUUCGUACAGAGUGGGAGAGACUGGCGUCUCUCCCACACCCACAGGACACCUGUUUUGAAUCUGCCUCGCAAGGGGGGUAUAUAUAUAACCCUAUCACGUGGAUCGAAAGUAGUUGCUAUCGUGAAAUGAAUUGGAAUGGCAUCGGAGACUGUGAGUAUCUUUUUGCUAUGAGAUGGGGAAGAAGUAACAUUGCAGACUGUUUUGCAUUGCUACCGUGCGAUGGAGUGGAGUGGUAUGGGGAUGGUAUUGGGUAUGGAAAUAUGGGGGACAAUGGUACAUCAAUAUGGGGGGGUUGUGUGGUAUGGAGAUAUGGGGGGUAAUGGUAUGGAGAUAUGGGGGGUAAUGGUAUGGAGAUAUGGGGGGUAAUGGUAUGGAGAUAUGGGGACAAUGAGAUUCUUGACCAGGUAGAGAUACCAAUCCAAGAAGUGACGAAAAAGUGAGUUUUUUGCCCAGGUGGUAGGCUUGAGGGGUGUAGGGAAGACGAAGUCUUCCCCCGCGUGUGAAGUAUUUGUCGAAACGUGAAGAAGUGCCGAAAAAGUGAAAAUGUUGCCCAUGGGGGGCUCUUAUGACACAAUUCGUGCAAAAUUAUUUCGACAUCACAUCUUCUGUGUGAAUAUUUGACCAAGAAUGGCUACAGGGGCUGCAAGUAACUUUUUUGGGAUGACUUCAUCCCCAAGUUUCUUGUGUGAACUCUUUGGCUAGCAGCUGGAAAAUGUACAAAAGUACUUUUUUGAGCUGUGAAAGAGUUUUGUGUGAACUUUUGAAAGUAAUUUGCGGGAAUUUGGCCAUAAUUACUCAAAUUUUGUGUGAAAUAUUGGACUAGGAUUGCGUGUGAAAUGCGUGUUUUAUGCGUUGGUAUUUUGUGUGGAGGGUAGCCCGGUUAGGUAGUGAGGUGCGCACGGAGGCACAGACGGACGUGGAGCCGCGCGCUCGUCCCUGCGCUGUGUUUCGGUCCGGUCAGGGCCCCCGGUGCUCGUCCUUUAUCGGGACGAGCCGCCCACAGUGUAACACCCCAAUUGUUGACUUAGAUACGACGGAGCGAAGCGAUCGGAGUCUCUAAGUCUGGUUCUGUGCGACUGUCGUACAACCGUAUUGGAAUGGCGAGUAAUAAUUGCUUCAGCUCUUUCGUUACAGGCAUUCUGCCUUUCACUCAGUAGAGCUUCAGCUUCUAGCUGACAGUGUAAGGGCCCUUGGCAGCUGGUCUCCCCGCUUCCCGUCUCUACCGUUCCUUGCACGGUCAGCCAGCACGUUCGAGUCGACAUACCCAUGAGAAUACGGUUAAGGGAGACAGGAGCACAGAACAACAACAUCAUUCCCAUGACAUGGCUUCUUGUCACGGCCUGCCUCCAUCAUGCAAGCGGCAAACGCUUACAUAGAGACACUUGCAACCCUAAGCACUUGCGUUGCACACAGUAUGAAAACCUCGUCCUAACAUCCACUGCAACACCAAGGGGCCGACAACCCCAAAGCGCUAAUGGGAGCCAUCCUAACACAGGAAAAGGCGUGUACUAUUUCUACACCUCACAUGAGCACCAUACGCUCCCUGCCAGCCCCAGCUAAACUUCCUAAGAUGGUACGGCCAUCGGCUGCCGGGAUGGCCUCUGGGUAUGACAAGAGCUAAAUGCCCUAUCCGAGUGGCUCCAGCAAUUGUGACAGAAGCCGCUGCAGUACCCAGCGCACACGCAAAACGGAAGGAGUCCCUUUUUUUAUCUACUCGUUCACAAAGGCUCGCUUGAGACGCGCUACUGACUUGCCCCUGCACCCGGCCUCCGUAAACCCGAAGGUCCUGAAACUUGCUUUUGAAUGGAGGGAACCCUUGGCAUGCAUACGCUCGUGGGUCAUGCCCGCGGCCCCUAAGGUACAAUUAGAGCUCCCCGUACAGAAUUGUCGUCGGGUUAACCCACGAUAAUCGCGUCUUUGUUGCACAUUCACAUGUAAACUCAAAAAACGUGCACAUGCACACCGACAUCACACAGCACCGCAUGACGCGUAUCAACCAAGAGACCAACGCGUCCAGCACCCGCACAGUCACUACAACAAUGACAUAAUUGAUUUGGGUCCGCCAACAUUCCAUCUCGACUCCAUUCCUCAGCACUACAGUCAUCAUCGCCACCAUCGUCAUUUAGACAAUUGUUAUCAUUUUUAUCAUCACCAUCAAAACAGCUGUCACCGCAAUAAUUGCACACUCGAGCCCAGUGCCACGGCACCAGUAGCUGUAGCCGCAGCAGCAGACACACGCAGCGGGUUACGGGUACAAAAAACGAACAUAACGACUCCACAGUGGAGUCCCAACAAUACGUAUGGACGCCUCUGGUACAAAUAAAACAGAUCUGACAGCGGUAAACUCGAAGACAACAACACCAACCACGAAGCCGGAUCGGGAGGCAAGACCAGAGCGCAGGUGGGGACCACGAGCGGCAGAGCGCCGCCUCACAAUCACACACGCAUGCUCUCGCGGACGCAGUACUGGCGGCGGUUGAUGAUGGCCACCUCGCGACCCGACAGCUCAAUGGGGGCCUCCACAAUCUUGGCGCGCUGCCAGCCACCCGGCAGACGCUCCGCGGCCUGGGGCCCGGGUGAAGGAAGACCAGCAAAGGGGGUUGAAGACGGAGAAGAAGGGCAAAGGGGAGAUAGACGCGUGUAGGGCAGGGGCCGGGGCACGCCGCAAUACCCUAACGUGUAAUGUGUGCGCCGCAUCCUGAAAGAGAAAUGACCCAGUACACGAACCGCAGCACCAAACCCCGAUCGAACAAAUCACCAUUGCGAUUAUCGAUGGGCCCUUAAAUCGUAUGAAUUGCGCAAUGAUGCAUUAUGUGUUGGGGAUUCUUCAUUUUCUGGAUUGAGGGUUUAAGUUUCAGUAGACCGCUUGACCCAAACGCCCUGCAAACUUGGAUAUGCGGGAGAAGUAGGGCCCUAUGCUUUCUACCUACCACUACCUAUCCUCUUAAAAUAACUAACUGUAUAUCUACCUGAGGGUCGGACAAUGGAACCACCAGGGUGCUGCCCUUGCAGGCCACGUGCAUGACCUUGGAACGAGGCAGGGGCUGGUAGGAGCUGCUACUGCUGCUGCUAGGGGAGGUAGACCAACUAGCUUUGACGUCGCCGCCCAGCCUCUGGCCAUCAGCAUCCAGGCGAGUGCCACGGGGUGAAACGCUACUGGGCGGAGAUGACGAUGAGGCUGAGGUGGCAGAGCUGGAGGCUGGGAAGGCCGCCACUGCGGCGAUAAGCGCCAAGGCGCCCAGCAUGACUUUGCCAAAGAGCUGCAGAAUGAGCCGGAAGCUGUCAUCGCUACCAAAGUCUCCAGGGCCCCAGUUCUUCUUAUUGUUGUUGUUGCUGCCGUUAUUGUUGCCGUUGUUGCCGUUGCCGUUGUCACCUGCGUACAGCCACCGUUGGAGAGCUUUUUAUGUGCGUAUUCAUACGGCAUAGGAACGUGUGCAGCAUUGAAAGCAUUUUGCAUUGAUCUUGAGACUUGUAAUAAGGCGAGUUAAAUCCAGGAAAAGCGAGAGUUGAAAUGGAAAAGGUCAGUUCAGCAGGCCAGGAGCUCACCAUACGGGGUCCAAUCUCCAUAGUUCUCACGACAAACACCACAAGAGAGCAUCGAAACGUUGUGGCUGUAGGCUCCAGUUUGCACGCGCAGGUCAGCAUUGUAUCUGGUCAUGGUAACGAGGAAGGUCCUCUUCCGCGGAGCCUUGUUGGUUGUGCUGCGUCUGUAAUGCUUAAAGGACACCGGCGCACAAAUGCUUGGCACGGUCCGGGCCUUGGCGCCGGAAGCGGUCGAAGCGGUCGGAAGGACGCAAGUCGACGACAUGUUGACAAAGUGUUUGUUGCAGAGGUCAGAAAUAGAUUAGUAAAUACACAUGCGUCAGAGGAACCCUUUCUGUUCUUAUGAAGUGCUCGUCAGGGCUUGUUAUGGAUUGCCUUCAGCCCCUGAUGGAUGCGGUUGGUACGGCCAAGGCCACCAGGCCAAAGCGCUACUUCUUCCAAAUGAAACCUUUGGGUGAUAUGAUAAGAACAAAGGACGUAAUCCGAUGAUGUAUUUGCAUAUCGUUGGAUGAUGGAUGGUCAAAUGGGUGACCUCUGGCUUCGUGGAUUUCCGCUAAUCCCACACAGGGUAAUAAAUAACACGACCCCGCAAGUCCCAAAGAUGCUUUCACACAGCUAUGCACUCCCGUUCCUGUGAGCAUACAUUCCUAUGAGCACAUUUAAACUCCUUACGUUCUGUAACUGGUGCCGCCGCAGCAAUAAUUAUGAAGCAAACAGUCGUGAUUGCUGUGCUGGCUAACUGCAUUUUAUCUGAUGGGAAACGUCUUGGCUGCCCAGCACAUACCAUAAAGCGAAGUCCUGUUUGGCCCGCUGAAAGUCUGUCAGAGCUGAGCUCCUUGAUGCGCGGUGCACCCAUAUCCCCUGCCGACCUCUGAUCCAGGACGGGCUUCGUCUCCCUCCUUGACAUGCGUAGAUUUUGUAGAUCGCACUUUCACAGCAAGGACAACCUCUCUUCGCCCUUGAAAUCUUCACUAACAUCGCAAACCACUUCAUUGCUCCAGGCUUUACAGAGACCUCGGUACACACAUCCAUGCUCCGAAAACUCUCUAUUCGAACAAAACAUGCAAUAUUGCACCACUAACUCGUUGAGAAUCCAAAGCAUUGCCAAAUUGGCAACACUGGCGCUUGGAAUGGACCAAGCUCCAACACCCUUCCCUUCCUUCCCUUCCCAUCGCUCCUCCUCCUCCCCCUCCCUUCUGCCUACCAACGCCAGCCACACCCCUCACUAUUUUCCACCACACCAAUCUAAACCCUCCCCCUCUCCCUCUCCCCUCUCUCCCCUCCACCUCUCUUCAUAAAACAAACCCUCCCUCAUAUCCCUCCUAUCACCGUCACCAUCACUACCACCACACGCCUUCCUCCAGGGCUCCCUCUCUCCCUCGUUCCCUUCGACUCCCCUCCAAACAUAAAACUAAAAACACACGCAUACACGCACGGCACUCACUCCUCGCCAUAACAGCCUGCCUACAGUCCCGCUCCAACUCCCAUUCCAACUCCCCACAACUGCAAUCCUCACUCCGAACGCGUUAAGCCGCACCUUGUUACAUAACAGCACUUCAUACGUGCCUCAGCAUCCCCGCUCCCCUCCCCCGCGCAACCCCACAACCCGCCUCCGACCCGAACAAGAACCGAGAAGCGAACGAAACACAAAAAACUGCAGCCACGGCCACGCACGUCCUUGUCUUUGGGGUUAAUUGCUACCCCCCGCGUCGCCUGUCUGAGGGCCCAGGGUUCUCGAGGGCUGGUGACAUUUAGGCGGGAAAGGGGGGGAAGCUUGCCACGUCACUGCCACGAUUUUGCUGUCACGUCACGUCAUGCCCUCCCUCACCACCCUUGCCAGCACCAAGACCCAUAUCAUAACGAUCACAUCAUAACGACCACAACAACACCACUAACAGAUUAGCAACCACCAACUGUCUCUACUCCCCUCUCUCCCCCCCUUAGGACCGGGGGGCCCGGAAGGGGGCCACGAAACCCAUCGCGUCACGGACGUCCGCCAACGUCCUGUCAGCAGUCGCCGAUGCCGCCUCCGCGCCCUUGGCCAGUACGGCAUCGAUGUACGACUGAUCCGACAUCAGCUCGCCGUACUUCACCUGCGAUGCACCGGCAAGAAGCAAAACAUACACACACGCACACACAUGAGACGGUGUUUAGUUUGUUCUGCAGCAACGGCGGGCGCAUCCGGAGCCCUGACGCUGUGUGUACGGAAGAGUGUGGUGGGGUUGUGGUGGGGGUGGGGUGGGGUGGAGGGGGAUGGCGGUCCAACACCCGGUGACUGGGUGCUGGGUCGUUACCCGUAACGAACCCGAGCCGUCCUGAGGGGCCCCCUCCCGCCUUUUACAGAUGGGUCCCACAAUCUUGAGACUCCGAAUAACAAACACCUCAUAGCCCGCCCAACCCUACCUUACAUCACAUCACACUUCCCCCCCAUCCGAUAUUUCCCUCUCCAAACCCCCCAACCCUCCCUCCCCGUCUCAAGCUCAUGUUCGCCCCCGACCCGACCCAACCCAUGGAGCGCCAUCUCCGCAAGCAAAGAUACAUACACACACGCGCGCCUUUCCCCCUCCACAUACAUACAUACAUACGCACACCUGCAGCGGUUUCAGAUGUUCGAUGAUGGCGUCUGCUAGCAGGGGCUUGAAGGUGCCCCACCGCAUGGAGGCGCACUCGGACACGACCUCAUCCUGACGGGCGUGUGUGAAUUGGACGGAGGAAGGCGGGGGGGAGGACAAAAAAACAUAUAAUGCACACAAUGCAGAAAAUCAAGUGCCGUACAACGUCCAAACGGGAAUGCGUAAGUGGAAAGAGAGGGAGGGGCGCCCCACAGCGUGUGUGUAUUGGGGGGAAGGGGGCGAUUGUUUAUUCGAACUCAUCGUGCGAACACGAAGUACGAUACAGUAUCACCAACUGUCGCCAAGCCAAUCAAGCAAUGUCGUACUUGAUUUCCGCCAGCCACCAUUACAACCACAAUCACAACCACCACAUAACCAACUCCUCUCUAAGCUCUCCAUCCCUAGUACAGGAAGUACUGAAAAACCCCUCUCCCCCCAAAACCCAAUUCUCUACAUCUCCCCACCCCCACCCCCAAAACCACAGUUCGUACUUUAGAUGUCUCGGCAAAUCGACUCUUGCCGUCAAAAGCAAUUUAAUAUUUAAUCAUUUUCCUCAAUUAGAAACCCGCCGGUACGACAAACAUGCGUGAGGCCAUGUAAACGCGGUUUUACUUCGGGAACCAUGACUCGGUGGCUUUAUUGCAAUAUUAUAUGCAUAUAAGGAACCCCCGACAGUUUUGAACUUUCGACGUCAAGGCACGAUUUUGAUUGUGGUGGUCCUGGUCCCGCUUGGCGCCGCACUUGCCUGCGACGUUUGCAUGUUGUUCUCGCUUUGUUCCUUUUGUACGGCUCUUCCUCCUCAUCCUCGUCCUGCACCGCUCAUACACCCUUCCUGGAGCAGUUUUUUCCGCUCAGCUUCUCUCCAUCUCUUUGUUUGUUCUAGGCCGACAUAUAUUUAGAUCUCUAGUCUCCUUCAGCGGCACUUCAUACGUACUUCUUGUUUAUUUGCCGCUGCUGACCAACAACUGUCUUGCUCUCCGUCUUGCAAGUGCAUGUGCCCGCUGCCUCUGCCGCUUGUGCCGUCUGGCCAGGUGAAUCCUAGGGGUUCGAGCUUAGUCGGUUGUUGUUUCUCGCUACGUCGGCGUAAGCGCUAGCUGGCUAGCUGGGUUGGGUUGGGUUGGGUUGGUCGGGUCAUGGGCGUAUGUGUUAGCUGGGGUGGGGGGGUGGGGGGGUGGGAGGGGCCCUUGCAUGCACGUCAGCCAGCAAGCUGCCUAGCCGCACCACGAACCAGCUAGGCUCCCGCUUCCUUCUCGCCUUCUGCCUUCGUUGGGAUUCGAACUCGGCAGCUUUGGUAAGUAGCUCGUUUCGCAACCCCCCGCUAUGGCCACGUCGCCGCCAAGACUACCGGUAAUCCAAGUCAACACUGGUCAGUAACAGUAAAUAUAUUUCCGAUGCCGCAUUUGUCGUACUCUCCUGGACUAUAUCCGUCUAUAUCUCGGGUAUAUCUAUCUGCUUCACCCGCCAGUGGUCCGUCGUACAAACCCCGUUUCCCCCUCCACAACCCUCCCCACCUUGCUCUUGCCCGUACACAAGCUGUAGAUGGCUAGCAGGUUGGUUGCCUCGGGCCGGUCGGUAUUCCCCCACUCCAACCCCUCCACGGUGUCGGUCUUACAGCGCUUGAUCUGUUGGGGAGAGGGGGGCAAGGGGGGAGGGGAGGGGGGAGGGGGAAAGACGAACCACGAACGAGUGAAGCUGCCGUCAAGGAGCAGAACUGACCAGUAGGAGUAGGGGGAGGGGGGAAAAGGGGGAAAAGGGGGAGGUGAGGGAACGCAUACACUUACACAACCCCUACCCCUACCCCUACAAACCACCGACCCAGGAGUCGUACGUAUGAAAAUUUGCUCGCUCUCUCUCCGUCCCCUCCCCCCCCCACACACACGCCCCGCACCCCCGCCCACCAACCCGUAUACCCCAAUCCCCCCAAUACACACACGCGCAACACCGUGCCAUGCCGUGUCAUGUCACGCCGUGCGGGUCACUGUCGAUUGCCCACCUUCGCCGCAAUAACCUCGGGGCUAUCCGUCAGGUUGAUACGGCUGUUGUCGUUCUCGGCGGAUUUACUCAUCUUUGCCGUACCGUCCUUGGGGGGGAGGUGGCGCGGGGGUGUUGGGGGUCAGUGCAGAAUGUGCGUGCGGUUGGGGGUUUAUACCGUUACCUACCUAACUAACUAUCUUGCGAAGGCGAGGGGAGGUGGAGGGGGGUAAGACGAAGUACUGACGAUUGAAGCAGAUACCAGAGAUAGACAUGUCGAGUGGAGGGGUGGAGAAGAAAGGCGCAAAAAAAAAGUUCAUAAAACACACACACCAAUUUACAGACAUACAUAUCACACACACCCCACACGCCACACCCAAAAAGAACCCACAGAAAGUACGUGCCCUUUCCCAUCCCUUUUUCUCCCCUCCUCCAACGUACAAACUCACAUACACACAUACACACACACACGGCCCCCUACCUGCAGUGACAUAAUUCUCGCCCCCGCAGGGGGAAGGAAAACCUCGGGAACUUUGAACACCCGACCCCCCCGACCCCCCCGCUUCUUCCAUCCCUGGGGGUGAAGAGGGGGGAAAGGGGGUUUGGGAGGGGGGGGGGGGAGAAAUGGACUUAAAUUUUCAAAAAUUCAGGAAAAUAAAAUAACCCCCAAACCACCCACAAUACGACAGGAGUCCCAAAGAGGGGAAGGGCGGGAUACGCAUGCGGGAUAUGAUGCGCGUGUAUAGGGUAUGCGCCUGCCUUUUUAUUGUCGUAGAAUGUUCACUUUCGGAGUGAAGGAUUAGGGAGGCGUGUGUUUAGUUCCAGUACUGUCUGAUACAUAGAUAUCGCUGAUGACGUACCGCGCCAAUACAAUACGACGUCCCCUAUGUCGUACAAGCGGGUAGAGGCAGCCCACACGUUUUCGGUACGCCCCAUCGCCGCAACCCGGCACCACGGGAAAAACACAUUUCCCCUUUCGCCCCCCCCCGCUUUCCUUAGAGGGGGUUGGGGGUUGGGGGUUGUGGAGGAGCUUUUCUUUCACCCGAACGCAUCCAAUGCGCCGCCUCCCCUCCCCUCCCCUCCACCUUUUCUUCCCCACACUCUCAUUUUCAAUUUUUCCCCCGCCUCCUACCUCCAAAACACACACACACACACACCAGGACGCAGGUCCAAACCUCCCUCACUCGCAUUGCUUGUUCAUUGAAUUUGCAGCUCCCCCCAAAAGCCAAACUAAACCCUCCCUUCCCCCGACCCGGCCCCCCUUUUUUCUCCCCCCCACAAAACUUUGCAUCCCCCUCCCCCCUCCCCCCUCCCUCCCCAGACAGACACACCUUCCCGCCAAACUCCAGGUUGACUUUCUCCGCGAUGUCCCUGGUCAGUUCCAGAUGCUGCUUCUGGUCCUCGCCCACAGGAACCAAAUCUGCCUGGAGGGGGAGAGUGGGGGUGAGGUGGGGGGCGAAGUGUGUGUGUAUGCGAGUGGGGAGGGGGGGAGGGAGGGGAAUAAUUGUACAAAACGGGGUUCCGUAGUGUAUAAGUGCGUGGAGGAGGGGCGGGGGAGGGGACUCAGCGCACAACAGAAAACGCAAAUCAGGUGUAUGUGUGUGUAUCUGUGUGUAUGUGUGUGUACGUCGCCCCACGUAACGUAAAUCGUAGUUCCCCCAAGGAUUCAUAACCUAAGAGGAGUGGAGGCAGCAGCAGAAGCCCGAGCGGAGAACAGCCCCAACUAUAUACGCCGCGUGACUAUGUGUGUAUGUGUGUAUGUGUACGGAGAUAACAAAGUGAAAGGGAUCACACGUGAGAUCGUGAGAGGGGGGGGGGACGGGAGGGGGGGAAAGACGAACCACACACGAUUGAAGCUGCUGCCAGGGCAAGAGUGUACCAGACGUAGAACUGACCGAAAGGCGUCCUUGGAGACCGCGACCUCGGGAUGACGAAGUGAAGAGGAUGUCGGAAAAACUACCUACCUACGCCGCCAGAACUGAAAAAGAAGAAAUAGUAUUGCCAAGCCGUAAAGAAGUAGGUGUAGAAAAGUAGGUGUGAAGGCGGCGGAAAAGUGGUAAAGCAGUGCUGUCGUAAAGCUGGCAUAAAGUUGCUGGCCUGGAGAAAUAGCUGAUUUGCUGAUACUGAAAGGCUGUCGGUAUGCAAGUGCUCCUCCCAACCCCCCAACCCCCCAACACGCGACCGACCCGACCGACCCGACUAUCCUAGUCCGGCUAGCCGAGCGAGAAGGGGGAGGAGGGGGACGUACCAGGAAUACACCGGAAGCACCGGAGACAGGACAUACAUACGGGGCAGGACAUACAUACAUACAUACAUACAUACAUACAUACAUACAUACAUACAUACAUACAUACAUACAUACAUACAUACAUACAUACAUACAUACAUACAUACAUACAUACAUACAUACAUACAUACAUACAUACACCGGAGACAGGACAUACUACUUGGUUUGGCACUACUGGUAACGCACGACCAUUGCCCCCGGGAUCCCAGGAUCGAGACCUAUCAAGGUCGAAAAUCCCUCCGAUGGUGCAAGGUAUUGCGCCCCUAGUUAAUGGACGGUGGUGACCUGGGAUAAAGUUGAUUCGCGAGCUGACCAGGAAUGGAGUUGGGCCGCUGUCGACCCGGCAGAUUCCGUUGGAUGCUGGUGGUGGGUGCGGAACCUGAGCGAUCCACUGAGAAGUUAACUAGGGUGAUUGGAUGAGGGUGCCCCGAAAUACCCGCGGGGAAGGCAGGGUUUCGCCGGUUAGCUGCCGCAGGGUGAAAAGACAUGACCCCCCUGUCCCACACAUCAUACGAGUGUACGACCGCCACUUCCAUGACAAACCCUUCUCCCUCCCCAGCGUCCGCCGUACACACCCUCGCACCUGGUAGAGCAGGAUAUCAGCCGCCAUGAGUACGGGAUACGUCAUCAAUCCCGUACGUACGUCCUCUCCCUGCUUUCUGGAUUUCUCCUUGAACUGGAUCAUCCUGCCCAGCCAGCCCACGGGGGUCACGCAGGACAGCAGCCAGGCCAGCUCCGUGUGCGCGGGUACGUGGGACUGUACGAAUAUUGUGGCCUGGGGGGGGAUGAUCAAGGCGAGGGAGAGUCCGGGGACGGGAGGGGGAACCACGAGCGAAUGAAGCCGAUCCAGAAGGGGAGGGAAAGGGGAGGGGGGGGGAAAGAGAUGCAGAGGGGGGGAAAGGUCCAANCCUACACACGCAUACACGUGGGGGUUAUGUACGGCACUCCUGAGCACCUUCAAUGGUCACCACUUCCCCCACCAAUGUCACCCGCCUCCCCCCGACGCUCCCCCAAGCCCUAACCCAACCCAACGUCACGAUACACACCACCACAUGUGACCCCCCUUCCCCCCACACCUUCCCCUCCCUCCAGUCAACAUUCCAUUAGUCUCUUUAAUUCCCCCCUCUCCUCCUCCCUCCCCCCUUCCCUUCCCCCUCUCCUCCUCCUUCUCCCCUUCCCUCCCCUCGUCCAUCCCCCCCCUGCCCCCCUCACCCUGUCCGGGUCAAUACCCGCCGCUAUGUAUGUCGCCGCCAUGGACCGGGUGGCGGCUCGGAGUUCCCGGGGGUCGUGAGGGACGGUGAUGGCGUGCAGGUCCACGACGCAGAAAAAAUUGUCUGUACGUAUGUAUGUGUUGAUGUGUGAGUGCGCGAGGCCGUGAAUGUACGUGCGUGUGGUCACGUGCGUAUUUCACAGGGUUGGGCGGGGUGAGGGGCAGGGAUCAAAUACACACCAAGCGAAAAGAAGAGAGGGGCCGCGUGCAGGGUUUUUCACCUUGGUAAAGCAGGUAAGCGGGAAUAGGUAGGGGAGGAGAAGACGGUCACAUGUACGAUGUGCGCCUGCCGUACCAUGCAGGCCCUACUCCCUAACCCCCCCUCAUAUUACAAAUCGGCUUCCCUCCGCCACUGCCCUGCUGUACUGUCGUACUUCUUACCGUACUGCUCCUGCAGCGCCACCCAGUUCUUCAUAGCCCCCAGGUAGUUACCCAAGGUGGGCCGCCCAGUGGGCUGUACACCGGAGAGGAUGCGCUUGCUGCGAAGAGGGGUUGGAGGGGUGAGGGGGUGGGGGGUUGAGGGGAAGCAAAGUGGGACGAGAAAUGGGACGAGAGAAAGGAAAUGAUGAGUGAAGAGGAAAGCGUGGGAGGAAACUAUGUGGGCGGUGAUGUCAUCCAUGCCAGACACGACACGGGUUUGGGGAGAUACUCCGGGAUCCACACACAUACACACACGAGCCGCCCAAUCUCACGGAGGACUGCGGAGCCUCCCCCCACCCCCCGGGCUGCUUGCACCGCCACCGCCGUACUCCUCUCCCCUCUCCCUUCCCCCCUUCGCCUCCCGCGGCCAUCUCGCUCCCGUCCGCAGCGUGCCCACAAAACACGCCACAAACACCACAAACGGGCCUAGGGAUAAGAGUACGAAGAAGUACAUACGUAUGAACGUACAUACAUACAUACAUACAUUCGUUACGUAUGUACAUACACCAGUUGCCAUGCGUUCAAUGGCAAACGGCAGUGGGUUGGGGGGGAAAGGAAGGGGAAAGGACCCUGUGCCCCCGCAUCCACUGCCCGAACUGCUGCUGCACAGGCGGGUGCACCCCCCAAGGCCCCCCAAAUCCCCUCCCCCACCUCAACCCCCCAAGGCCCCCCAAAUCCCCUGUUGGGAAUCACCGCACCAGGGCCCCAACGCAAGGGGAGUGAAGCGCGAGUGAAGGUGGGUGCGUGAAGUGCGUGAAGUGCGUGAAGAGCUAUCGCGGCACAAGACGGGGGGGGGACUGCGCGGGGGGCCUCUCGCCCUCCGCGUCCUCCCUCCCUCCCGUACUGCUGUGCGCCGUACCGCGGCCGUGCCGUGUCGCCAUGCCGUGUCGUGUAUCGUACGGAACCGCGUCAUGUCACUCAAUGUCACACGGUAUUACACCGCCAUGCAAUUAGGGGUUCCAGCUUGGUGAAAAUAUCACCCCGCGAUACAUAUUCACAAAUAAAUCUGCGUCAGAUCAUCCUGGUUCCUACCCAGAGACCUCCCCCUUUUUCAACCUCCAUCUCCAACCCCCCCCACACACAAACACACAACUUCCCCUGUACGGCAGGCCCGCCCGUACUUAGUCCCACCACUGCGCACCAGCAGCUCCCACCUCCCAUCGCCCCCCGAGAUGGAAUGAGAGUGAUGACGAGGUAGGAGGUGGUUAGGCGGUUAACGGAAUUAACGAAGCGGUGGAAGUAUCAACCAAAGUUACGGACACGCAUAGGGCCCAUAAGGGCUCGGGAGGGAAAUCGUACACAAUGCAAGAGAUUACGGCGAGGACGAGAGGGAAUAUGGUUGCGGAGAAGAUGGAAAGAAGGCAGGAGAAUGAGGGGGGAAGGGAAGAGGAGAUUGGGGAGGGCGAACGCGGUGGGGGGGGGUUAGGAAAGACGAACCACGAACGAGAGAAGAGUGUGGGGGGGGGGAGGAGGGGAGGCGCCAAUCCUGUGUGGUGCAGUUCCGAUAAACCUCAUCACCACACAACAACAACAUCAUCAUCAUUAAUGUCUGGCGCGGGUCCAGGUUUGGCAUCUGGCCCCUUCCCAGACCCAACCGAUGGAGGGGGUCGAUAUGUGGCGGCUGGGCGGGGUUUGGGGGAGGUGGGAGGCGCGGGAAGAGAGGAGCAACCGGUGGUGGUGGUGAUGGUGGUGGUGGUAGUGGACGAAAAGGAGGGGGAAGCAUGGCCGUAAUCGCAACGAGGUGCGGAGGCUGCUGUGUCAUCUCAGAUGACUCAUCUGAUGAUCUGACCGUGGCCCCUAGAGUCAAGCCCCUCUCCCGUCCUCUUGCAACAGGUUUCCCCCGACCCCCCGCACGUGCGAUCAGCAACACCUUUCUCCCAUCCCCCAUUCCGAACAGCCACUUCGACCCCCUCCAUAGAGACCGCGUGCUGGACAGUGUCUUACCGCUGAGCGACCUUCUCCGUGGUCGAUGGCUCGUUGAGGCUUGAUGGCUGCACCUCCACAGCGGUGCUUAGAGAGAUCGCUGCCGCAGAGCUGCAGCAUGUUGAGGGCCCGUGUGCUCGCCGAGCGUUCUGAGGCGAAGCAAAUGGGCGACGCGCGCGCAGGAGCUGGCGCUGGCCUAGCUGCAUGAAUUGCACCGUGCUCCGCAUCGAACACGGAGCCCCCAGCUGUUUAUAUCCAGCGAAGCCUUCGGAAGAUUUUGCAAUUGACUGACUGCCAGUUGCGUUCAUCAACAACAAUGUUUGGCCUUAAGGCUGUUUAUUCACUAUGUUAUGCGUAGAUUAUUCAAUUUCUUAAACUUACGAUGUUAUGAUUAUUGUUAUACUAUUGCAAAGUGGUAUCAACCUUCUCGUCCAUGCAUCGCAUUUGUGGCCGCACGAAUGGCCUGGCAGCAACGUUCCAUCAGUAUGCAAAUACUAAAGGAAAAUGCUAAUGCAGGGGAAAUACAUGCAUGUGUUACCUGUCGCGCACCAUACAUCCUGCGAGGGUUCCCCAACGAAGCAACUCCAUGGGGUCGGUCCCGUUGGUCGCUGUGCUAGUUUAGGGCCCCACGCGGUUAGGCAACCCUUCCAUCCAUAGGACUGAGAAACAUAUCUAUCAACAAAUGCUUGGCCUUUGCUCAGAGUCAAUCUAUUUCAUUUAAGGACUGUAUGAUGGACGUCGUCAUGACCACGCACGCGCGCCACGGGUUUGUGAAAAACGUGCGUUGAACACAUUAGCAGGCAGUUAUCGGAAGGGAUAAAUUAGCUUUUCGGGAGAUGGUGGGUAAAAGCACUCACGAGUAUGGAGUGAGGGCACAUCGCACUUGAUGGGGGGGUUGAGCACAUUGCACCUAUGGGGUGUCGGGACAUCGCGCCUAUGGUGGUGGGCAUUACGCACUAAAAUAAGGGAUUUUGCACAUCGGGCCUAACUUUUGGUAUGAAAUCCCCAAAGGGAGUUCCUGACAUCAGUUGACAUCUACACAAGUUGUUGGAUGUAAUCUUGCGGUGGCAGGUACGCACUGUCCAACAGCCAACCUUCCUGCCUGCCUGAAUUAUGUUCCUCCUCUUGAACUUCUGUCAUUUGUUGUAAUCUUCUACCAGUUGCUGCGCUUGGUGUCCCAAUGUGUGCACCCUUCACUACAUACCCUGUACCUUAGGGACCAGGCACCCCUCAACCAAAUUUUCUCCCAUGGAGUGCAGGGUGUUUAACCCUCAGCUCGAGGCUAUCACCUGCUGCGAGAUGAGUCCUGCCCUCACCAGCACCCACGAGAGGAAAUAGUCCUUCUCACUGGCCACGUUACAUGCAAAUGGCGUCAGCCAUUCCAUAUUAGCGAGAAUUAGUCGUGUCUGCUCUUAUCGUCAGAUGCUCUUGUGCCCAUAAUCACGAAAUCCUUGUCAAUCAGCAGGCCAGCAUCAAAACUGCAAGGAAGCACUUCGCCGACAUGCCUAUGGCCAAGAAAUCAUUCGUGAUUGCUCAAAUAAUCCACCAUGCGCUACCUAGAACAGGAAGGCACCUAAGCAAGCAGCCGCAAACUAGAUGCCUGAGCAACCAACAUCACCACCCCGCUCUACAAAACGAAAAGCUCUUCUCAGGCUGCAAUCAAAGUACAUGUUUAGAUCUCGCACGGGCUCAUCAUGCGGCCAGAGAACUUGACCUUGAUGGGGUUGACGUUCUGGCCGAUGCGGCGGAAGUUCUGGUUCACGCCAACGCGGCCAGCGUUGACCUUCUCCGGGUACACACCGUCAGCAGGGUGCAGGUACUGCACCUUGCCAUCAGGGAAGACGCGGUAGAACGCCGGGGUCAGCUUGAACUUGGUGCGCAGCUGGGUCGUCAGAGCAAGGCACUGCUCUUUCUUGGCGAACUUGAGCAGGUUGGGGCCCUGGCGCAUGAUAGCAGCACCGCCAGUCGGCAUCUCGAAGAUCUGCUCCUUCUUGGAGUCCCAGGUAAUGACGUAGAACUCCUCCUGCUGCGCCUUGCGAAGCAGACCGCCGGUGCUACCACCGAAGAUGGGGCUGGGAGUGUCAGGGUUCAGCGUCGGUGGGGUCCAGACCGGCUUCUCAGCAGCAGCCGUAGCAGCCUCCUCGGCGCGGACCACUACGCAGCGACGAGCCGGGCGAGCGGCGACGACGACCCGCGAUGCAGACACGCGGGAGGCAACAGGCGCCUGGGUGCGCAUCAUGACGGCCAUCUUUGCUGCAGUAAGUGGCAGGUGACAGGAAUGAAAUGCUACGCCAGUACGCACAACUCUUGCAGUCGGGGCGGGGCUUUACUGCGGUUUCGCUCGGAUCGAGAUCGACCAGAUGGGCCCUGUGCGAGCUUCCUCAGACAAAUGCUUUAAGCAUUUACAGGCCACCUCUCUGUCUUUGAUGUAUGGCUUUGAGAUACAAAUCCUUUCGCUAUUAUCAUUUGCAUGUUACUAUCUCAGGCGAGGCGUAGAGGCAUUUUGCUUUGCAAUCUUAGUCCUCCUGUAAAGGGGUACCGACUUAAGAUAAACGUCACAAGUCUAGAUGUUGCAUUUUCCUGCUAACUGCUAUACUUAAUGCCGUCCUUCGUGGAUGGCUUGCUAGCACGCGCGUAACAUUUGAGAGCGCACGGAAAUUACAGAAAGUAAUACUGUUGGAUGUCUUUCAAGUCUUAUAGAACUGUGCUUGCGAGAGUGUAGGAUGUCGUUAUAGCUCGGAUGAGCUGCGUUACGAGACAUAAAACAUGCUUAGCACAAAGAAGGGUUGCUACAGAAUUCCAUUAUUGUCUGUGUUCAGUAUUGCAUGUGGGGCUGUGAGUUUGGUUUGUGUGCAUCCCCUUCCUUGGUUGUCAACAGCCCGCGGGCUACAAGCACUCAACAAUGGGAACCAAGGAGCGGGGCCUAGG